UACGUAGGGCGCAAGCGUUAUCCGGAAUUAUUGGGCGUAAAGAGCUCGUAGGCGGUUUGUCGCGUCUGCCGUGAAAGUCCGGGGCUCAACUCCGGAUCUGCGGUGGGUACGGGCAGACUAGAGUGCAGUAGGGGAGACUGGAAUUCCUGGUGUAGCGGUGGAAUGCGCAGAUAUCAGGAGGAACACCGGUGGCGAAGGCGGGUCUCUGGGCUGUAACUGACGCUGAGGAGCGAAAGCGUGGGUAGCGAACAGG
rnacentral:rRNA from 1 species